rnacentral:rRNA from 1 species
ACUCCUACGGGAGGCAGCAGUGGGGAAUAUUGCACAAUGGGCGCAAGCCUGAUGCAGCAACGCCGCGUGAGGGACGACGGCCUUCGGGUUGUAAACCUCUUUUAGUAGGGAAGAAGCGAAAGUGACGGUACCUGCAGAAAAAGCACCGGCUAACUACGUGCCAGCAGCCGCGGUAAUACGUAGGGUGCAAGCGUUAUCCGGAAUUAUUGGGCGUAAAGAGCUCGUAGGCGGUUUGUCGCGUCUGCUGUGAAAACUGGAGGCUCAACCUCCAGCCUGCAGUGGGUACGGGCAGACUAGAGUGCGGUAGGGGAGAUUGGAAUUCCUGGUGUAGCGGUGGAAUGCGCAGAUAUCAGGAGGAACACCGAUGGCGAAGGCAGAUCUCUGGGCCGUAACUGACGCUGAGGAGCGAAAGCAUGGGGAGCGAACAGGAUUAGAUACCCUGGUAGUCCAUGCCGUAAACGUUGGGAACUAGAUGUAGGGACCAUUCCACGGUUUCUGUGUCGCAGCUAACGCAUUAAGUUCCCCGCCUGGGGAGUACGGCCGCAAGGCUAAAACUCAAAGGAAUUGACGGGGGCCCGCACAAGCGGCGGAGCAUGCGGAUUAAUUCGAUGCAACGCGAAGAACCUUACCAAGGCUUGACAUAUACCGGAAAAGUUCAGAAAUGUUCUCCCCGCAAGGUCGGUAUACAGGUGGUGCAUGGUUGUCGUCAGCUCGUGUCGUGAGAUGUUGGGUUAAGUCCCGCAACGAGCGCAACCCUCGUUCUAUGUUGCCAGCACGUAAUGGUGGGAACUCAUAGGAGACUGCCGGGGUCAACUCGG